GCCUGUGGGUGUGCCGGAUUGACAAUGCCUGAUCUCUUUAGAUCUUAGAAGAUAAGCAAGGGGAGGCCUGGUUAGGACUUGAAUGGGAGCUCACACUUUAGGUUGCCAGCUCCUACAAUAA
rnacentral:rRNA from 1 species